UGGGAAUGCCAACCUGCCUUGAGUUGCCUGAGAUGGACUGCAGGUUUCCCCUGCAACCCUGUGUAAAGGGUUAAAAAGAUAUAGAAAAUGGGUGUACUUACAAAAAAUAAGGUUUUUUUUUAGAUAAAGGAGCAGAUCUGGAUGGUUCAUGGGUACAGAGUGUUUUGGUGAACCUGGAUGCUGUCGCUCUCCUGUGUUCAACUCAGUCCAGCUACACAUGCUUCUCCUGAGCUACCCUUUCUGAUCUCCAAACCUGCCCAAUCCACCUUGAUGCCCUGCUGCUGAUGGGGUUCUCAUCAAUUGGGAAACACUAGCUGCUGCUUUGGAAUGCCCCACACGUACAGACGAAAGAUACUGUGA